CAGUCGCCGCGGUAAUACGAAGGGGGCUAGUGUUGUUCGGAAUUACUGGGCGUAAAGCGCACGUAGGCGGAUAUUUAAGUCAGGGGUGAAAUCCCGCAGCUCAACUGCGGAACUGCCUUUGAUACUGGGUAUCUUGAGUAUGGAAGAGGUUAGUGGAAUUGCGAGUGUAGAGGUGAAAUUCGUAGAUAUUCGCAGGAACACCAGUGGCGAAGGCGGCUAACUGGUCCAUAACUGACGCUGAGGUGCGAAAGCGUGGGGAGCAAACAGGAUUAGAUACCCGUGUAGUCCCUGUCUCUUAUAC
rnacentral:rRNA from 1 species